rnacentral:rRNA from 1 species
UACAGAGGGUGCGAGCGUUAAUCGGAAUUACUGGGCGUAAAGCGUGCGUAGACGGUUCUGUAAGUCGGGUGUGAAAUCCCCGGGCUCAACCUGGGAAUUGCAUUCGAGACUGCAGAGCUAGGGUGCGGAAGAGGGAAGCGGAAUUUCCGGUGUAGCGGUGAAAUGCGUAGAUAUCGGAAGGAACACCUGUGGCGAAAGCGGCUCACUGGACCAUUACUGACGCUGAGGCACGAAAGCUAGGGGAGCAAACAGG